rnacentral:rRNA from 1 species
CCUACGGGAGGCAGCAGUGAGGAAUAUUGGUCAAUGGGCGCGAGCCUGAACCAGCCAAGUCGCGUGAGGGAGGACGGCCCUACGGGUUGUAAACCUCUUUUGCCGGGGAGCAACGGGCGCCACGUGUGGCGUCACUGAGAGUACCCGGAGAAAAAGCAUCGGCUAACUCCGUGCCAGCAGCCGCGGUAAUACGGAGGAUGCGAGCGUUAUCCGGCUUGAUUGGGUUUAAAGGGUGCGUAGGCGGAUUUUUAAGUCAGCGGUAAAAUGUCCGGGCUCAACCCGGGCCGGCCGUUGAAACUGGGGGGCUUGAGUGGGCGAGAAGGAGGCGGAAGGCGUGGUGUAGCGGUGAAAUGCAUAGAUAUCACGAAGAACUCCGAUUGCGAAGGCAGCAUACCGGCGCCCGACUGACGCUGAGGCACGAAAGCGUGGGGAUCGAACAGGAUUAGAUACCCGUGUAGUC